CAUCACAUUCCCUUACAAGGCUAUCGGAGAUUAUGAUAGUGUUUACCCUCAAUGGAUUUUCUUUAAACCUUUUAUCCUAGAACCAAAUGGACUCUCUUGAUCUUCCGUCCUCAAAUUAGGGUUGCUCUCUAGAGUACAGGUUUGAUUUCUCUAGAUUAUAUAUUGGCUUAUCCCAAUUAUCUUCAGAAAAUGCAUUGAGGAUGUAUCAAAUGAAAGUUGAUAUGAUUCCCUUCCUCUAAUGUACUUUAUUUCUUUGAUAUUUGUUAUUUGAAUGUACUCAAUUAUUUGUAUAUCAAAGAGACGAAAUUAAAUUGGAUGAAGAUCGAUCUAACUCAUUCUAUUUGGCUCCCACAAUUUCUAUUUUCUUGCUUCGCUUCA
rnacentral:lncRNA from 1 species